AGAGUUUGAUCAUGGCUCAGAGCGAACGCUGGCGGCAUGCCUAACACAUGCAAGUCGCGCGGUCAGCAAUGGCAGCGGCGGACGGGUGCGUAACGCGUAGGAACGUGUCUAGAGGUGGGGGACAACCCUGGGAAACUGGGGCUAAUACCGCAUAUGGGCUGAGGCCCAAAGCCGUGAGGCGCCUUUGGAGCGGCCUGCGUCCGAUUAGCUAGUUGGUGGGGUAAAGGCCUACCAAGGCUCCGAUCGGUAGCUGGUCUGAGAGGACGAUCAGCCACACUGGGACUGAGACACGGCCCAGACUCCUACGGGAGGCAGCAGUGGGGAAUAUUGGACAAUGGGCGCAAGCCUGAUCCAGCAAUGCCGCGUGGGUGAAGAAGGUCUUCGGAUCGUAAAGCCCUUUCGACAGGGACGAUGAUGACGGUACCUGUAGAAGAAGCCCCGGCUAACUUCGUGCCAGCAGCCGCGGUAAUACGAAGGGGGCUAGCGUUGCUCGGAAUUACUGGGCGUAAAGGGCGCGUAGGCGGCUUAGUCAGUCAGGCGUGAAAUUCCUGGGCUUAACCUGGGGUCUGCGUUUGAGACGGCUAUGCUAGAGGGUAGGAGAGGGUCGUGGAAUUCCCAGUGUAGAGGUGAAAUUCGUAGAUAUUGGGAAGAACACCGGUGGCGAAGGCGGCGACCUGGCCUAUUACUGACGCUGAGGCGCGACAGCGUGGGGAGCAAACAGGAUUAGAUACCCUGGUAGUCCACGCCGUAAACGAUGUGCGCUGGAUGUUGGGGCCCAUAGGGUCUCAGUGUCGUAGCUAACGCGGUAAGCGCACCGCCUGGGGAGUACGGCCGCAAGGUUGAAACUCA
rnacentral:rRNA from 1 species